GAAGAUUCAAAUAUUGUUCAUAGAUAAUCUUGAUCAUAAACCCACAAGUCAUCGGAUCUCGACAAACACACCGCAAAAGAAGAUUACAUCGAAUAGAUCUCUAAGAGAAUCGAGGAAAACUUUGUAUUGAGAUCCAAAGAGAGAGAAGAAGCCAUCUAGCUAAUAACUAUGGACCCGAAGGUCUGAGGUAAACUACUCACACAUCAUUGGAGAGGCUAUGGUGUUGAUGUAGAAGCCCUCCGUGAUCGAUGCCCCCUCCGGCAGGACGCCGGAAAAGGCCCCAAGAUGGGAUCUCAUGGGUACAGAAGGUUGCGGUGGUGGAAUUAGGUUUUCGUGGUCGUUUAUGAUGGUUUGGGGGUACGUAGGUAUAGAUAGGAGGAAGAAGUAGGUCGGUGGAGCCACGAGGGGCCCACGAGGGUGGAGGGAGCGCCUGGGGGGGGGGGGGUUGGCGCGCCCCCUGCCUCGUGGCCGCCUCGUUGGUUGCUUGACGUCCAUUCCAAAUCCUCUGGAUCACGUUUGUUCCAAAAAUCACGCUCCCGAAGGUUUCAUUCCGUUUGGACUCCGUUUGAUAUCCUUUUUUCUGCGAAACACUGAAAUAGGCAAAAAAACAGCAAUUUGGGCUGGGCCUCCGGUUAAUAGGUUAGUCCCAAAAAUAAUAUAAAAGUGUAUAAAUAAGCCCAUUAAACAUCCAAAACAGAAUAUAUAAUAGUAUGGAACAAUAAAAAAUUAUAGAUACGUUGGAGACGUAUCAUGGGGGGAUGGGUUGGGCAGGAGGGCGAGGGCCGGCAUGAUGCCGCUAACGUGCAGGCGGUGCGUGGCCAGGGAGUAGCCCGCGUAUCCGGCGGCGAACGCCGUGCUGGCGCGCAUGAUGAAGACAGCGGCGCGGGGGGCGCCGAGAUGGCCGGGGACGAAGUAGUCGAGCAAGGGGCCGUAGGAGAGGCGGAUCAGGUCGGUGGGGAAACACCAGCUCCGCCAGAUGCAAAGCAUGAAGCGAAAGGCGUAGGAGCAGAGGGCGAGCGACAUGAUCCACACCUGCGCCAUUGGCUGCCCGGCGGAGCGCCAUAGUAGAAAGGAAGGGACAGACACACCCAGCGCGGCCUCGAAACCCAGGCGCGUCAGCAUGCGGAAGAACCGCGUGCGGCGGGCGGGGUCGAGGCGGCCAACGCUUAGUAUCUAGGACAUACAGCCGCCUACUUUGGCCGUCCCGGCGCCGGCUGGUUGGAGUGACUCGCAUCUCCGACCAUGGAAGAAUAGGAGGCCGCCGGCCGGCCGGGAACCUUAACCAAAUUUGGGUUUGAGAACAAGCGUUUCAUGGGGCGGGCGGCCAGAAUUCUCGAAGAAAUCUGAGGCCUUUGUGGGCUUCAACCCUGUCUCCUGAUAAUUACUUGGUAGUUUCUUCGUAGCUUCUGGACAUGCAAGUACGUGGUAGUAGCUGUGCAUGUUCCUGACAGUUUCUUAGUGCAUGGAUAGGAAAGUGCU
rnacentral:rRNA from 1 species